UCAAGUAAUUAAGUGCAUGUGGUGGAUGCCUUGGCAGUCAGAGGCGAUGAAAGACGUGAUAGCCUGCGAAAAGCUCCGGGGAGGCGGCAAAUAUCCUUUGAUCCGGAGAUGUCUGAAUGGGGGAACCCACCUACUUUAAGGUAGGUAUUGCAACAUGAAUACAUAGUGUUGCAAGGCGAACGAGGGGAAGUGAAACAUCUCAGUACCCUUAGGAAAAGAAAUCAAUUGAGAUUCCCUCAGUAGCGGCGAGCGAACGGGGAUCAGCCCAUUAAGUUAUGUGUGUUUUAGUGGAACGCUCUGGGAAGUGCGAACGUAGAGGGUGAUAUUCCCGUACACGAAAGGGCACAUAAUGAUGACGAGUAGGGCGAGGCACGUGAAACCUUGUCUGAAUAUGGGGACCAUCCUCCAAGGCUAAAUACUCCUGACUGACCGAUAGUGAACCAGUACCGUGAGGGAAAGGCGAAAAGAACCCUGUGAGGGAGUGAAAUAGAUCCUGAAACCGCAUGCAUACAAGCAGUGGGAGCACCUUCGUGGUGUGACUGCGUACCUUUUGUAUAAUGGGUCAGCGACUUAUAUUCAGUAGCGAGGUUAACCGUAUAGGGAGCCGUAGAGAAAUCGAGUCUUAAUAGGGCGUUUAGUUGCUGGGUAUAGACCCGAAACCAGGCGAUCUAUCCAUGAGCAGGUUGAAGGUUGGGUAACACUAACUGGAGGACCGAACCCACUGUCGUUGAAAAGCCAGGGAUGACUUGUGGAUAGGGUGAAAGGCUAAUCAAGCCUGGUGAUAGCUGGUUCUCCCCGAAAGCUAUUUAGGUAGCGCCUCGGACGAAUACCAUAGGGGGUAGAGCACUGUUUCGGCUAGGGGGUCAUCCCGACUUACCAAACCGAUGCAAACUCCGAAUACCUAUGAGUACUAUCCGGGAGACAGACUGCGGGUGCUAACGUCCGUAGUCAAGAGGAAAACAAUCCAGACCGCCAGCUAAGGCCCCAAAAUCAUAGUUAAGUGGGAAACGAUGUGGGAAGGCAUAGACAGCUAGGAGGUUGGCUUAGAAGCAGCCACCCUUUAAAGAAAGCGUAAUAGCUCACUAGUCGAGUCGGCCUGCGCGGAAGAUGUAACGGGCUAAAACUAUGUGCCGAAGCUGCGGAUGUAUACUUUGUAUACGUGGUAGGGGAGCGUUCUGUAAGCCGAUGAAGGUGUGUUGAGAAGCAUGCUGGAGGUAUCAGAAGUGCGAAUGCUGACGUGAGUAACGACAAAACGGGUGAAAAAACCCGUUCGCCGAAAGACCAAGGGUUCCAGUCCAACGUUAAUCGGGGCUGGGUGAGUCGACCCCCUAAGGCGAGGCCGAAAGGCGUAGUCGAUGGGAAAAUGGUUAAUAUUCCAUUACUUCUGUGUAAUGCGAUGAGAGGACGGAGAAGGCUAAAUCAGCCUGGCGUUGGUUGUCCAGGUGAAAGGAUGUAGGCAUGUAUCUUAGGCAAAUCCGGGGUACUCUAUGCUGAGAUCUGAUAGCAAGCUGUACUUGUACAGCGAAGUGGUUGAUGCCAUGCUUCCAGGAAAAGUCUCUAAGCUUCAGUUACACAGGAAUCGUACCCGAAACCGACACAGGUGGUCAGGUCGAGUAGACCAAGGCGCUUGAGAGAACUCUGCUGAAGGAACUAGGCAAAAUGGUACCGUAACUUCGGGAGAAGGUACGCUGUUGUUGGUGAUGGAACUCGCUUCCUGAGCUGACGACAGCCGCAGAAACCAGGCCGCUGCAACUGUUUAUUAAAAACAUAGCACUCUGCAAACACGAAAGUGGACGUAUAGGGUGUGAUGCCUGCCCGGUGCUGGAAGGUUAAUUGAUGGGGUUAGCGUAAGCGAAGCUCUUGAUCGAAGCCCCAGUAAACGGCGGCCGUAACUAUAACGGUCCUAAGGUAGCGAAAUUCCUUGUCGGGUAAGUUCCGACCUGCACGAAUGGCAUAAUGAUGGCGGCGCUGUCUCCAGCAGAGGCUCAGUGAAAUCGAAAUCGCUGUGAAGAUGCAGUGUACCCGCGGCUAGACGGAAAGACCCCGUGAACCUUUACUGCAGCUUGACACUGAACUUUGACCUUACUUGUGUAGGAUAGGUGGGAGGCUUUGAAGCUGGAACGCUAGUUCCAGUGGAGCCGUCCUUGAAAUACCACCCUGGUAAUGUUGAGGUUCUAACUCUGUCCCGUGAUCCGGGACGAGGACCGUGUCUGGUGGGUAGUUUGACUGGGGCGGUCUCCUCCUAAAGAGUAACGGAGGAGUACGAAGGUGCGCUCAGCGUGGUCGGAAAUCACGCGUAGAGUAUAAAGGCAAAAGCGCGCUUAACUGCGAGACCCACAAGUCGAGCAGGUACGAAAGUAGGUCUUAGUGAUCCGGUGGUUCUGUAUGGAAGGGCCAUCGCUCAACGGAUAAAAGGUACUCUGGGGAUAACAGGCUGAUACCGCCCAAGAGUUCAUAUCGACGGCGGUGUUUGGCACCUCGAUGUCGGCUCAUCUCAUCCUGGGGCUGAAGCAGGUCCCAAGGGUAUGGCUGUUCGCCAUUUAAAGAGGUACGCGAGCUGGGUUUAGAACGUCGUGAGACAGUUCGGUCCCUAUCUACCGUGGGCGCUGGAAAUUUGAGAGGAUCUGCUCCUAGUACGAGAGGACCAGAGUGGACGAACCUCUGGUGUACCGGUUGUGACGCCAGUCGCAUCGCCGGGUAGCUAUGUUCGGAAGGGAUAACCGCUGAAAGCAUCUAAGCGGGAAGCCUACCUCAAGAUAAGAUUUCCCUAGGACUUUAUGUCCUCUAAAGAGCCGUUCGAGACUAGGGCGUUGAUAGGUUGGAUGUGGAAGCAUAGUGAUAUGUGAAGCUGACCAAUACUAAUUGCUCGUGAGGCUUGACUA
rnacentral:rRNA from 1 species